AUUGAACGCUGGCGGCAUGCCUUACACAUGCAAGUCGAACGGUAACGCGGGGCAACCUGGCGACGAGUGGCGAACGGGUGAGUAAUAUAUCGGAACGUGCCCAGUUGUGGGGGAUAACUGCUCGAAAGAGCAGCUAAUACCGCAUACGACCUGAGGGUGAAAGCGGGGGAUCGCAAGACCUCGCGCAAUUGGAGCGGCCGAUAUCAGAUUAGGUAGUUGGUGGGGUAAAGGCCUACCAAGCCGACGAUCUGUAGCUGGUCUGAGAGGACGACCAGCCACACUGGGACUGAGACAAGGCCCAGACUCCUACGGGAGGCAGCAGUGGGGAAUUUUGGACAAUGGGGGCAACCCUGAUCCAGCCAUGCCGCGUGCGGGAAGAAGGCCUUCGGGUUGUAAACCGCUUUUGUCAGGGAAGAAAAGACUCCUACUAAUACUGGGGGUUCAUGACGGUACCUGAAGAAUAAGCACCGGCUAACUACGUGCCAGCCGCCGCCGUAA
rnacentral:rRNA from 1 species